rnacentral:rRNA from 1 species
GGAUGCCUUGGCAGUCAGAGGCGAUGAAGGACGUAUUAACUUGCGAUAAGCCCAGAUUAGGUAGUAAAAACCACUUGAGUCUGGGAUUUCCGAAUGGGGAAACCCACUAGCAUAAGCUAGUAUCGCUGCGUGAAUACAUAGCGCAGCGAGGCGAACCGGGGGAACUGAAACAUCUAAGUACCCCGAGGAAAAGAAAUCAACCGAGAUUCCGAAAGUAGCGGCGAGCGAAAUUGGACUAGCCCUUAAGCUUUUUAUGCGUCAGGUGAAACUUCUGGAAAGUUGUGCGAUACAGGGUGAUAGCCCCGUAACCGGCAACGCAUUUAAAGUGAAAUCGAGUAGGGCGGGACACGUGAUAUCCUGUCUGAAUAUGGGGGGACCAUCCUCCAAGGCUAAAUACUACUGACUGACCGAUAGUGA